CGCGAGGAAGUUUGAAUAUUUUGGGUAAUAUUUCGAACUAUUUGAUUAUAGUUGCUAGAGUUUUGACAUACUCAUGAAGUUGUAGUAGUUAAUAAGCGAGCUGGAGUUCAUAGCUUUUUGGUGAGAGAGAAAUUGAUAUUUUGAUAAAAAAAUUUGGGAAUUUUGUGUUUUCAGAAAUAAAUUUUGUGGCUUUUUUCAAGUGUGUGAUUGAUUGGAAACUGUGGGUUGUGUAUGAUAGCAUGGCUUCUGAAACUAAGAAGUUGAAGAAUGGGUAUUUAUUUAGGAAGGAGGAAGAGGAGAAGGGGAAGAGAAUGAGG
rnacentral:misc_RNA from 1 species